rnacentral:rRNA from 1 species
AAUAUUGGACAAUGGGGGCAACCCUGAUCCAGCCAUCCCGCGUGUGCGAUGAAGGCCUUCGGGUUGUAAAGCACUCUUGGCUGGGAAGAAAAGGCGCGGGCUAAUACCCGGCGCCGCUGACGGCACCUGCAGACUAAGCACCGGCGAACUACGUGCCAGCAGCCGCGGUAAUACGUAGGGUGCAAGCGUUAGUCGGGAUUAAUGGGCGUAAAGCGUGCGGAGGCGGUUCGGCAAGGAGGAUGUGAAAUCCCGGGGGUUAACCUCGGAACUGCAUUCUUAACUGCCGGGCUAGAGUAUGUCAGAGGGGGGUAGAAUUCCACGUGUAGCAGUGAAAUGCGUAGAGAUGUGGAGGAAUACCGAUGGCGAAGGCAGCCCCCUGGGAUAAUACUGACGCUCAUGCACGAAAGCGUGGGGAGCAAACA